AAGUAAAAUGGAGUGCAUAUCUGUUUGAAUGAAAGGGGAACCUUCCUCUAAGACUAAAUAUAAUAUAUAAGCGAUAGCGAAUAGUACCGUGAGGGAAAUGAUUGAAAUAGUAAUUUUAUAAGCAGCUCAAAAAUAGUUUAAAUAAACAAUGAGAGCGUACCUUUUGCAUAAUGGGUCAGCAAGUUAAUAUUCGAUGCGAGCAAUAAUGCAAAGAUAAAACAAUUAUGAUAUAAUGAUCUAGUAUCGAAAUUAGACCCGAAGCCUAGUGAUCUUACCAUGAUCAGGAUUAUAAAAGUCCGAACGGGUUAUCGUUGUAAAGAUAUCCGAAGAAUUGUGGUAAGUUAGUGAAAGACAACUCUGACUAGGAUAGCUGGUUUUCUGCGAAACCUAUAUAAGUAGGUAAUUUAAAUAGAAUAUCAGAAGGUACAGAAUUGUGAUCUCAUGCAACCAGUAUUUAUUUUUUGAUUAAUCUAAAAAUAACAGCUUGCUUGUGUGCUUAUAUUAGCUUACGCUACGUAAGUAUGCAUGUAUGCCUUUUUUAGGGUAAUCUAAAUAAAAAUAUACUUUUUGUGGACAUUGGGGGGUCGUGAAGACUCUAUCAGUGAGUAUUUGUUCUCGGAAGGUCUAGAUAUGUAUAUUGAAUAAUCGGACAUAGUACGAUAAGGUUGUAUGUCUAAAGGGAAAUAGCCCAGAACAAGAGUUAAUAAGGUUCCAAAAUUUUUGUUAAGUGAAAUUAAGGCAGUAUUUAUCCCAAUCGGCCAGGAAAUAGGCUUAGAAGCGGCCAUUUUUUGAAGACCUCGUAACAGAGCACUGGUUUUCUAUUUUAUGGAUAAAAGCACCGAAAAUUUAACGGAUCUAAACAAAAUACCGAUACCUUGUCCAUAUAUAUUAAUGUGUAUAUUAUAUAUUGUAUAUAUGGGGUAGCGGAACAUUGGGUAGCCAUUUUUAAUCCUUUAUAAGGAUUAAAUUGCCUAGAGUUUAAUUUAUUAUUGCCUAUAGUUUAAUUUAUUAUUCUCUGGACUAAAUAAGCCCAAGUGAUAAUGCUGACAUGAGUAACGAUAAAGGACCGUACCUAAAUACUAACACAAGUGAGCAAGUAGAGAAUACGAAGGCGUUCGAGCUAACAAUCAUUAAGGAACUCGGCAAAUUGACUCUCGUAACUUCGGGAUAAGGUGGACCAUUUCUUCUGAUUAAUAUCAGGCAAGAAAGAGGAGGCAUAGAAUGGUGUUGUACGACUGUUUAAUUAAAACAAAGCACGCUGCGAAGAAAUAAAUUCGAUGUAUUGAGUGUGAUCUCUGCCCGAUGGCGGCUGGUUAACUAAUUUGCUUAGUUAAAUAAAAUAAGCUAGGCUUUGAUGGAAACCCCGUUCAAUGGCGGCCUUACCUAUAAGGGUCCUAAGGUAGCGUAAUACCUUGGCCGUUAAAUGCGGUCUUGCAUGAAUGAUGUAACGAUACAACAGCUGUCUCUAUGAUUGGCUCGGUGAAAUUGGAAUAACUGUGCAGAUACAGUUUACCUUUAGUUGGACGAGAAAACAGGCUAAUCCCGCCAGAGAGUUCAAAUUGAGUGCGGGGUUUGGCACCUCGAUGUCGGCUUAGCUCAUCCACAUGAAUGUAGGAGUCAUGAAGGGUCCGACUGUUCGUCGAUUAAAGAGCUACAUGAGCUGGGUUAAAUACGUUGUAAGACAGUAUGGUUUCUAUCCUCUAGAGGAAGUUGGAAUAAAUUAAGGAUAGCCCCUUGUACGAGAGGAAUUGGGUAUAUUAACCUAUGGUUUACCUGUUGUUUGUAUUGCCAUAUUAUUGUAACUGAUAGAGAUAUUGUCUUUAUUUUGUUAUAGCCUCUGAGUUUAUAACCAAGAACGCAAUAUUCUGGGUGUCAUGGCUUAUGCUGGCAGUUACUUUUCACUAAAGUAAUAUUUAUUUAGACAGUAAUAAACUGAAAUAGUUGAUAUGUCUAGUAAAAAGGCACGGCAGGAAAGCUACGUUAGUUAAUGAUAAGUGCUGAAUGCAUAUAGGCACGAAACAUACCUUAGGAUAUUCUCAUAUAUACGUAGUUUAAUACUACAAUUUUAGUUUUUAUUAAUAGGCUUUAGCUUAAAGAAUUGUGAUGUUUUUAGGCAUUAAGUACUAA
rnacentral:rRNA from 1 species